rnacentral:lncRNA from 1 species
AUAACGCCCCCUCAACACCGUUUCAAACCCUGUGAGGGUCCCGAAUUUCUCAGGAAAGGAAGGAGGGGAAAGGCACCAUCGCCUCCAGCAGUUCCUAGCACCACGGCCGGCCCUCGGACACUUUUCGCGGCGGGGACGAGCGAGACAUUAUUUCUGACCUAUUUUCGGCGCCGCCUCGGAGCGAUAAACAAUCAACAGCGGCGGAGAAACGCUGCCUGGACAGAAACUUCUCCGGCCACGAGUCGUCCCCUGCCCCGCGGCGGAGGCGGCCGAGCCCCCCGCCUCACCUCGCCGCCCACCCAGUCGGGCCGCGGAAAGGCUCCCCGAGUUUUCCUGCCGAGGUGCGGGGAGGGGUGGGGGGGUCAGACCGACACAAACAAGUCCCCCGCCCGCCAUGCCCGCGGCCCCAGAGACAGGCCGGGCACGGAGGGGUGGCCGCCUGCCCCAGCCCUCCGGGAGGGGACAGACACGGUCCCGCCGCUCUGCCCGACCACCCUGCGCCCCCUCGCCGCUCCCCGGCACCGACCUGGGACACAAAGGAGCGUCCGCCGCUGCCCGCCGAUCGCCCGUGCUCCCCGCGGAGUCCAGGCCGCGGCAGCACCGGGAUGGCGUAGCGCAGGCAUCCGACGCCAGCGCCUGCUGCUCCCGCGACGGCCCGUGCCGCCGGCGCCCGCUCUGCGCUGGGCGGGGAGGGGAGGGGGGGCGCUGGGAGCCGGCCGAGCGCCGCUUCCUGCUGCCCGGCGCCGAGGGGCGGCGGGUGCCGGAGCUGCAGCCGGGGAGGCUGCGCCGGCGGCUAAGCGGAGGCCGGUGGUAGCGGCCGCAUCCUCGGCUCCCGCGCCGGGCUUUCCGCGCCGCCUCGCUCCAGCUCCGAGGAGUCUCCCGAGCGGCUCCCGCGGCGGCCGCUGCUGGCAGCGGGAGUCCCCGCUGUCCCCGCGAUGCGCCCGGCUCGCGCUCGUGCUCCCCCUGCCGCCGGGCCGGGCCGGGCCGGGCCGCGGCUCGGGCCCCUCCCGCGGCUCCGCGGGGCCGACUUGGGGCGGCCCCGAAGGGCCGGGAGAUCCCCGGGGCGGGAGGGACGCGACCCACCCAGGGCUUAGCCCUCGCUGCUUUCCACCCGCGGCCCGCUCCCCAGAGACCCCUUGGAGGCGCACGCUGUGA